rnacentral:rRNA from 1 species
ACGGGAGGCAGCAGUGGGGAAUUUUGGACAAUGGGGGCAACCCUGAUCCAGCCAUGCCGCGUGUCUGAAGAAGGCCUUCGGGUUGUAAAGGACUUUUGUCAGGGAAGAAAAGGCUGAUGUUAAUACCAUUAGUUGAUGACGGUACCUGAAGAAUAAGCACCGGCUAACUACGUGCCAGCAGCCGCGGUAAUACGUAGGGUGCGAGCGUUAAUCGGAAUUACUGGGCGUAAAGCGAGCGCAGACGGUUUGUUAAGCAGGAUGUGAAAUCCCCGGGCUCAACCUGGGAACUGCGUUCUGAACUGGCAGGCUAGAGUGUGUCAGAGGGGGGUAGAAUUCCACGUGUAGCAGUGAAAUGCGUAGAGAUGUGGAGGAAUACCGAUGGCGAAGGCAGCCCCCUGGGAUAACACUGACGUUCAUGCUCGAAAGCGUGGGUAGCAAACAGGAUUAGAUACCCUGGUA